rnacentral:rRNA from 1 species
AGUGAACGCUGGCGGUAGGCCUAACACAUGCAAGUCGAACGGCAGCACAGAGGAGCUUGCUCCUUGGGUGGCGAGUGGCGGACGGGUGAGGAAUACAUCGGAAUCUACUCUGUCGUGGGGGAUAACGUAGGGAAACUUGCGCUAAUACCGCAUACGACCUACGGGUGAAAGCAGGGGACCUUCGGGCCUUGCGCGAUUGAAUGAGCUGAUGUCGGAUUAGCUAGUUGGCGGGGUAAAGGCCCACCAAGGCGACGAUCCGGAGCUGGUCUGAGAGGGUGAUAAGCCACACUGGAACUGGGACACGGUCCAGACUCCUACGGGAGGAAGAAGUGGGGAAUAUUGGACAAUGGGCGCAAGCCUGAUCCAGCCAUACCGCGUGAGUCAAGAAGGCCUUCGGGUUGUAAAGCCCUUUUGUUGGGAAAGAAAUCCAGCUGGCUAAUACCCGGUUGGGAUGACGGUACCCAAAGAAUAAGCACCGGCUAACUUCGUGCCAGCAGCCGCCGUAA